ensembl:snRNA U2 U2 spliceosomal RNA
AUCACAUCUCAGCCCCUUGGCUAAGAUCAAAUGUAAUAUCUGCUGUUAUUGAUUUAAGGUCAGGUACAUCCUCAGUCUGAGCACAAUAUAUUAAAUGACUCUGGGGUACAGAAUGGUGAAAUUGCUCAAUUCAUUCCACACAUUCACCUGAUACUCCAGAGCCUCCAGGAAUGGUGCAGCCUCU